rnacentral:RNase_P_RNA from 1 species
GAAGCACGCCAGACCGCCGCUGGUGCAAUCUGGGAAACCAGGCACUGGAGGAACGUCCGGACUGCACAGGACAGCGUAGCAGCUAAUGGCUGCCCACCGUGAGGUGAGGAUCAGAGCAACAGAGACGAGUCCCAGGGGAGUGCCGCAAGGUAGACCACUGGGGGUGAAACGGGCAAUCUCUACGCGCAGCAAUACCAAGUAGGCCAGCCACGGGAGCAGGGCGACCUCUCUCGACCUUGUGGAUCCGCGGGGAGAGCUGGCGGGUAGGUAGCACCGAGCCGUGGUGGCGACACCCGGCCCAGAUUAAUGGCGGUCACACUGCGGGCAACCGUGGUGCACAGAAUCCGGCUUAUCGGCGCGCUUCACAC